rnacentral:rRNA from 1 species
UGCGUAGGCGGGUUGCUAAGUCAGUGGUAAAAGCGUGUGGCUCAACCAUACCAAGCCAUUGAAACUGGCGAUCUUGAGUGCAAACGAGGUAGGCGGAAUGUGACGUGUAGCGGUGAAAUGCUUAGAUAUGUCACAGAACCCCGAUUGCGAAGGCAGCUUACCAGCAUGCAACUGACGCUGAGGCACGAAAGCGUGGGUAUCAAACA